ACCGUCAUACACUGGUAUCAACAGAAGGAAGGUAAAGCUCCACAGAGAAUCCUGUUCUUCUCAGCAGGGAAAACUACAGUUGAAAGUGGCUUUCAAGCGAGCAGGUACAUGGUUGAAAGCACUUCUGGCCAGAGACGGUGUGUUCUUACAAUAAAAGAUGUAAUUCCAGACGAUGCUGCUACUUACUACUGUGCCUACUGGGAUGCUCACUGUGAUAGAACCUCAAAGAUCUUCAAGGCAAAAAACCUCCCUCAGCAUCUGAACCACAGGGCUGUAAAUGUGCCACUUCACCCCCUGGUCUUCUCACACCACCUGAUAUGA